GCAUAACCAGAUUAAGGUUAAGAUUAAGGUUACCUUUGUUUGUUUACAUGCUUGGCUCAUUAAACAUUUUCUUAGUUCAUACACUUGUACAGUAGUUGAUUAUAAUUUUCAGUUAUUCUUCCAUUUUCUGUGUUUAACAAUACAAGAAAUUAAAUCUGAUUCAUUUGGCAGAUGUUUUUUCUAAAGUGACUUAUAUUUUCCCAUAUACAUAAAUUAGGAGUACCUUUAGGUAGAGUGUUUGCCAAGGACACUUUGACAUGUGGAUAGUAGGAACAAGGGAUCGAAUGGCCUACCAAUGUUUUUACUUUUUGCACUCAAUACCACAGUAUCUGUUCAAUAAGAAUAAAAUAAAGAGCAUCUGCCAAAUAAGCCCCUUUAAGUUUCUUUGCUUCGCCAACACUUAUUUAAAAUAUGCAAUUAAUUGCUGUACUUUGUUGUUUGUUUGUUCUUCUUUUCCUGGAAAAAUGAACAUUAACAAUAAUUUAACAAUAUCACAGUUCAAUACAACAAAAUACACAAUAAAUAAGAGGGAAAUUGCUGUUAAUCACUAAGCAAAAACAACUGGCUAUAAACCAAAAAGUUAUGUAUAAGCUGUAAAAUUCUGGAAAGAAAAAUUAAAUAAAUAAUAAAUUACCAUGGACAGUCGAACAUGCCAGCGGGUUUUUAGAUUAGAUUUUAAUAAUAACAGAUUGUUUGCUGAUGGGAUUUGUUCUCUGUAAUUAUCAUUUUAAUGUAGUUUUUUAACAACUCAUUUUAACUUAUGCUGGUUCACCCUUCUUUGUUACCAUCUGUUAGAAAACCAGGCAGACAUACAGUGUAACUAGAGACGAGUCAUUCAUCUCUCUCAACACUGAAUUUGGAAAAUGAGAGCGUAUUAUUCACUAUUAGCUGCUCUGCUGCCCUAAUUUCACAAUUUCGCUCCAGCUUUGGUUCGAUCGCAGGAUUAUUUUCUGCCAGUUGAUUAGCUGCUUAAAUAUGAUAUUUGUGCAUAUGCAGAAGUGAUCAGGAUAACAAAUCCAGCAGAUUAUUUGUGGAUGGUUUUUGGACAGGUAUGACAAGCCUUAUCUUUUUGAUUAUUAUAGUCUGCUGACAAUGAAUGUAUUAUUAUGAAGAAAUGUUAAUAUUCUGCAGGUUUGGCACCAACCUGGUGGCUUGCGUCAUCUGUUUUUAUUAAGGUGUUUUCUAAAAUAUUUUCUGAAAUCUUAAAAUUCUUUAUACUGCAGCAGUUUUUAUAGUAGUUUUAGUAACAUCAGUGUCAGUGGCGGUUUUAAUAUGAAGUGUUUGGUGUUUUUCUGUUUCUCCAGCAUCAAGUAUUUUGCCAUCAAAAUACUUUAUAACAUCCUUUUGCCAUUUUGUUAGUAACUGAUUCUACAAACGUUGCAUCAGUCAAGCUACAGAUUGAAAAUCACUGAUGACUGUCACUGAAUGGGGCCUUUGAAACCAUAAAAUGGAAGUUUCUCGUGUGUGUGUUCGUUCCCGCUCAUGAGCUUGCAGUGUUUGUACAGUUCUGUAUGUUUUUACAGAAAGUGCGUGUGAGUGUCGCGUGUGGCCUGUGUGUGUUAUGGUUGGACGACCGUCACAGGCUCAUGAACUGGCCGUGAUCCAUGCUGGUGCGUACAGUAUGUUUACACAUGGUACAGUAUGUGUCUGCAUUUGAGUGUGCCUGUAUGUGUGUUAGUGUAAAUGUGUGUAUAUUUGCCAUGGCCCAUAAUGUUUUCUUUUCUCCAGAAAAAGAGGGGACGUGAACCCUUCACGUUGUGCCCCAGUUCGGAGCUCCACUGGUGGGGUGGCCAGGCGUCCCACAGGGCCUGUGGCUCCGUGUCUGACCUGGAGAACAUUCCAGAUCUGUGAAGAUACACAAUCCGUAGAGGAUGGGUUUGUGUAUGUGUGUGUGUCUCACAGAUUAGCAUGACUAGCUGCUUAUUGAUGUAAUGUUUAAUGAUGUUCCCAGAACGACACCGACAGAUAAACAGAUGAGAAAGAGGAGGAAGAGGAGGAGAAGUUGGAGGAAGGUUCAUGACAGUAAUAAUCUACAAUAGAGGGCCUCUGCCAGUGAUCCAUGGAGGGUAAUGGCCAUUCCUGCUGCUCCCACAGCACACCCCAUUACUACUGGAACACCCAGACGGAGAGCGACAGACAAAAAAGGAAAGAGGGAAAAAGACCAACAGAAAGAAAGAAGACGGACAGACAGAAAGUGGGAAUAUUUUGGUUCAAAAAAAGUAUAAUCGUGACAUGAAACUGGAAGCGUAGCAGCAUGUGUGUAUGGUGCAUGGAUGUGUGUGUGUGUGUGUGUGUGUGUGUGUGUGUGUGUGUGUGUAUAGAUCAUUUCAUGGUAAGGAUUAGCGAGGGCCAGGUAAGAUAUCUUGUUUCCUGUGACCUGCUCAUCGUGAGGUUUCCCACACUCAUCACUUCACUCUAUCACAUCCCUCUUGCUGAGAUAUAAAACAUAUAGACAUUGUUCCCUUUGACCCCUAACACACACAAAAAGACGCACACACACACACACACACACACACACACCUGGUUACAUCACACACUUCCCAUACCUUUAUAUGCUGUUGACCUGUAAAUCUAAAUUAUCUCCAAAUACCUCAUUCAUACUCUCACUUUCAGUCUAUCUGCGUGUGUGUAAUGCUAUAUUCCCGUCAUACUGAAAACUUGAGAGAUGUGUGUGUGUUUCCUGUAACUCACUGUGGGUUAUGAUAACAACCGUUUCUCCUGUCAACAGCCCAUAAUGUCAGAUUUACAGGGUUGCCCCCGGUAACCAGCCGAGCUGGCGUGGCUGAGUGAUUCUACAGCAUCUGCCAGAGCUAGAGAGGCCAUCUAUCACACGCACACACACACACACACACACACACACACACACACACACACACACACACACACACACAUUAGCACUCACACAGACAUAUCUAAUUUGUCUCUCCCACAAAUUUUCAGUAUAACAUGGAUACGAUGUCAGCAUGAAUUACGCACCUCUCUCUUUUUCUUACCUUCAGUUUGAGACUGUCCUCCAUAGAAAAAUGUCAUCAUUGGUUGUUUGUUCAAACAGCUUAAAACAAUGUAUGUUCAUGUAUGAUGCCAAUGUAGGAAGUAGUUCUUGUAGUGCAGCAAAAGGAAGAGGUUGAAGUGGAGGGUUGGGUAUACAAAGCAUCUGAUUUUUUUUCAGCAAUUCAAAUAGGUCUGGUGCUGUGUUUACUCCAUCUGGGCUGUUUCCCUGGUUGCAAGAGCAACUAAGUCAAUCACAGGAAAAAUUGUCACAAAAAUGGUGACAAGCGUAAAUGAGAUAGACAAAGCUAUACAGGUUGUUGUAAGUUGACUUACAGAAAUAACACCUUUUAAAUUGGCAUAUUUCUUUGAUCAACAUGGCAAAUGUUAAGAUAGUUAACAGCUACUGCAGCUUCUUCAGUAUGUCGACUGAAAAUUAUGUUGACAGGAUGGAUACCUCACUCACUACUCACUGAUUAGGGUAAACUAAUCCCUCCUAACAAACAGUAAACAGCUAACAUGACUGAAGAAUGAUGUGGAAACACAAAGGCAAUUCAGUCUGAUUAACAAGCUGUCAACAUCUUGUCCUGAUACUCAACGAAGCUUCAGGGAAGUUAUGCUUCUCUAACGUUUUAAUUCCUAUAAGGGUGAAUUUCAGUUUCUUGCCAUCAAACCUUCUACGUCACUUCCACUUUCCCACGCUGUCAGAACAUAACCAAAAAUUCUUGCUUCUUCUUAUCUGGUCAGUCAGUUCGUCCCCUUGAACAAACUGUUUGUUGCUCGUCGUGAUUCUUUCCAUUUUCCACCUAUUCACUCGACUCCACCACCAACAGCAUUUAGACUCUGGGGGGAUCCUGUCAUCUUUUUCAGUGGGUUUACAUUUAAUGAAGAUGCUUGCGAAGAUCAUGUUGACGAAAUCCAGAUGCAAAAGUCUUUCUCUGUUGCUCAAAUUGUAUCAAAUAUGUCUAGCUAGCUAGACAGUUGUUCCUUGUUGUAGCUUCUACCUUCAAAGUGAAUGGCAGCUGUGGUCAGAUUGCAUUAACAGCAGUUACAAUGGAUUCCAAACAUGAACCAGAGUGACGCCAAAAAACGUGCCAAAAUGAUGGGAGCUUCUUAAAUAAUCCCUGCAGCCAAUCUAUGUUCAGUAUACUCAAUAGUAUCUCCGCAACAUACCUGAAUACUUCUGUAUUACUAUUGCUUCCCCAUAGCUUUGGAGCUUAACUAGCGGUAUCGUACUCAAGGAUUUUUUGGUGAAUACAUGCUGAACAUAGAGAUCAACAGCAGAGAAGUGGAUUAUGUUGCAGGAGUAUGAGGUUUUGGACCUGCUGUGAAUCCAGUCUGUGUAUAGCUACCUUUCUUGGUGAUGGAGCAAGCUACGAACCUUCCAUAGACACCUUUUGAGCCUAUUGUAUUUGAGUAUUUGAUACUCAAAGGCUAGAUUUCUGUGAAGUAUCCGUUUAAUCAUCGGGGCAGCUGAUCAGGAAACGCUCAUAUAAGUAUUUGGAAUGACCAUGUGGGUCAUUUUUGUGGGUCAACUUAGUUUAGUUAUGAGGACUUGUUCACUUUUUCCUGUUUCUGUCUCUCUUUUUGGUGUAGUGAAAAUAGCACAAGCUAACUAAGCAAUAAAAGUUAUGCCUUUCUUUUCCAUUAA